rnacentral:lncRNA from 1 species
UCUUUCCCCCCGAGAAUACCUCUGCAAACAAGCUACACUAGAGCAAGAAUAUCUCUUAUCAUCAGGGUUAAAAGCAAGAGUAUCCCAUAUCAUGCUUUUUCCCUAUCUUUUCCUUUGGCCUUGUUCUUACCUGUAAGACAAUGAGAAAGAGAGCAAUCAGUCAGCACUUGGAAUCAAGCUUCCAGUCCAGAACUGACUGCCUGGAACCCCAUUGCUCUCGAGUACUCAUCUUCAACAUCUUAUGCUUCCCAAGAAGAUACCACAUCUGCCUGAGAAACAAAUAGGGCAAGUGAGAAUGAUACAAGGAAGCAUGUGGAGACAAGUGCAACAGAACAUGUGCCGAUACAUCCACUACUUUGUCAACAGCAAAAGUAUCCCAUAUCAGCAGGGUUGAACGUACUCUAGAUUUGAUGGACUUGUUUUGACCCUCAAAUUCUUCAGUUGGCCUUAUACUCUGGCGGAAACAAGAAAACCCUCCAGCCCAGUUCAAGAAUAAG